ACUGCCAAAUUUCAUUAGUCAACAUGAAGUAACCUAUAGGUUUUCUUGACAGACACGAGAGACGGACAGACAGACAGAUAACAAAGUGCAGAUCUCCUAUAAAGGUACUAUUUUUCCUAUUGAGGUACGGAAUCCUAAUAAAGACGGUUUGAAAUGAUCUCAGCCCUUGAAACAUGUUUAUUCAAAUAAAUUACAGAUCUUUGGGCUUUGCCAGUUUCAUUUGUCAUCGUCUUUGAAUGUUAAUCAAAUGUGCAAUAUUAGAGUUGAUGCUCUUGCUAGAUCGUACAGUCAGUUAGUCUGGACGAAGCCUUAGCGAAGACGUGAAGUUGCAAGGAAUCUGUGCUGACUGAAAAUACAUAUAUGAAGAGGGCGGCGACAAUGCGGCGUCGUGACGUCAUCGAAGUAUACCUGUGCCUCAAGCAUUCAUGGAAAAAAGGAAAAGGUCAUUCUCAGCCCAAAAAAAUAACAUCUGUGGCAUCACCACAUCACCUGUGGUAACAGCCCAAAAGUAACAUUUUGGGCACGAACUUUUCUCCAUUUUCUUUUUACACUCUAAAUACUCUAGAUUUAUCAAUAUUAUUUCUCCAUCCACAUUUUCAUUUGUUUCAAAAAAAAAAUUAUCUACAAUGUAUCAAAUUGGUUUCUUUAGUUUAAUAGAACUGCAUGUAAGGUAAAAAAAAAAAACUACAACUUACAAACAUCUUUGACACCACGUCAGAG